GCCUGCGCCUGCGCCGGGUUUGUCCGGUACGGCUGUGCCGCUCGGUGUGCACCGCUCCUCGGGACAGCGUGUGCCGGGGCCCUCCUCGGGAAAUAUUUCUUCCUUCUAUGGAAACCAACGAGCACCCGGGCCUGCACUCUUGAUAUAAAUACCCGGUGAUGACCGACUUAUUGCGGGCGACCGGGCGACGAAUCCACCGUUGGGACAGCACUGCCGGUGUCAGGCCGUGUAAGGAGUCGCUGUCCUUCUGUUUGUGAGCUCCCUCCAGGCACGUGAAGGCCGCAGUGAGGUCUCCCCAGAGCCUUCUCCAGGCCGCACGAGCCCAACUCCCUCAGCCCUUCCUGUCGGUGAGGCGCUCCGGCCCUCCCAGCACCUUUGCGGGAUUACGGCGGCCCGAGUGCAGCACCUCGCGCGUGGCCGUGUUGCACCUCAUCUGGUUCACGCGGUGCUGCUUUUCAAGCCUGUCCCGGGCCCCCCUGGAGGGCGCACACAGCGCUGCCAUCACUCACCGCUGCGCGAGAUGCAGCUUCUGGUCCCUGGAAUGCUGUGCAGCAUGACAUUAGCACAGAGCUCCUGUCAGAGCAGCGCAGAUCCCAGCCCGGCCAGGCUGCCUGUGCCUGCUCCUGGGCUCCCAGCACUGACAGUGCCCACCAGGCCCCAUCUGUGUGGGUCGGGGGGGAGAGAGAGGCAGCAGGCCUUUGGGGUCGGGUCUGGGGGGCUGUGGGGGCCACAGGACUAUCACUGAGAUACGAAAUGUCUCUGCAGAGCUGGAAGGUCAGGAGCUGAGGAGAAUAUGAAGGGCUCCCAUCAUGCUGCUGAGUGCCCCUCCUCUCCUGGCCGUACGCUGAGGGCAGGUGGAGGCAGGGACAAGGGUCAGGAGCAAGGGCAGAAUGAUUUUUUGCUUUCUCAGUCUUCCUAGAAAGAAAGAAAGAAAAAAAAUCUAAAAUCUUUAAGAUAUGUGUGGGAUCUGUUGAGUCACGGCCUGAACCACGGAUUGAUCACCUGUGGAAAGGACCCAGUCAGCCCUGAGAGCACAGGUGAAAGCAAUUCAUGUGUGUCGAAUGGAAGGAGGGGAGCCUGGCUGCAGCUCUCUUAGAUCUCAUUUAAGGGCUGACUGCUGCUGGGGAGGAUCUUUGCCUGGUGGAUUUGCCACAAGGUUUCUUACAAUGACUAACAGUAGAAGGAAAUGUGCUCUGAAGGGGUGUGCUUGCAAGUCGGCUCAAGAGAAAUGAAAAUCGUUGUAGCGGGGACCCUGCCUGGGAGCAGAGCAUUACCAAAUACGUUACUAUGCAAAGAAUCUCAUGUUGAAUAAUUUAGAAAUACCUUUUUGUUAGUGGUCAAGUAAAACAUGGCAACAGAGGGUAAUCUCAGGAAAAAGAGGGGAUAAAAACAUCUCUAUCAAGCCCAGACUUGAUGGGAAAGGAAGAGCUGAACAAGUGUGCGUGUCUGGGGGUGUUCAUCUUCUAGACUGCACCCAGAGAAGGAGAAUGAUUGUGAUGCUGCAGUCUCGGAACUCCAGUCAGUACACAAAUGGAAGGAUUUCUGGGCUGAGAUGAAUUUAUCUCCGCAGCUUCUAAUCUUUUGGAUUUUGUGUUCUAGUGCAGUGAAGCUUUUGGGCAUGAUUUAUCAUCACUAUAGCUAACACUGUAUGGGAAAAAAACUGACUUUAGAUCUUACAUCAAAGCUUUUAACAAAGCUUGUUUCCCUGGAUUUUACUUGCUUUCCAUUGUCUCCACCUCUCUGGUGCCUCUUUAAAAUAUAUGCCUAAUCUGAAAGCUGA